CUUCAGUUCUCCUCCACCCUCCCAGCAGCAGCCAAUCACGGGCCAAAUGAGACGAAACUAUUUAAAGGUUUGAGGCACAAAAGACGUCAGAUUGUUUGAAACUGAAGGGGGAAGCGGGCCGACUGCUGAUUGGAUGUUAUACCACCAUGAGUUUAAGGGACAUGUAGCUGAUUGAAAAACUGCCAUUCAAUGUUUGCCAAGUGCCACUCAGAGAGCGAUUACAAUCUUCAUCCUUCACAACGUUGGACAAGACGUUUAAUAAAAC